CCUACGGGAGGCAGCAGUGAGGAAUAUUGGUCAAUGGUCGGGAGACUGAACCAGCCAAGCCGCGUGAGGGAUGAAGGUACAGAGUAUCGUAAACCUCUUUUGUCAGGGAACAAAGGCGGGGACGCGUCCCCGGAUGAGUGUACCUGAAGAAAAAGCAUCGGCUAACUCCGUGCCAGCAGCCGCGGUAAUACGGAGGAUGCGAGCGUUAUCCGGAUUUAUUGGGUUUAAGGGGUGCGCAGGCGGUCUGUUAAGUCAGCGGUAAAAGCCCGGGGCUCAACCCCGCCCCGCCGUUGAAACUGGCAGUCUCGAGUUGGAGAGAAGUAUGUGGAAUGCGCGGUGUAGCGGUGAAAUGCAUAGAUAUCGCGCAGAACUCCGAUUGCGAAGGCAGCAUGCCGGCUCCACACUGACGCUGAGGCACGAAAGCGUGGGUAUCGAACAGGAUUAGAUACCCUGGUAGUC
rnacentral:rRNA from 1 species